GAUGAACGCUGGCGGCGUGCCUAACACAUGCAAGUCGAACGCUGAAGGAGGGAUCUUGCUCGUUCCCGACGAGUUGCGAACGGGUGAGUAACGCGUAGGUACCCUGCCUGGUAGCGGGGGAUAACUAUUGGGACCCAUAUCUAACACCGCAUAACAGUGGGUGUUGCAUGAUACCUACUUAAAAGGUCCAACUGCUCCACUACCAGCUGGACCUGCGUUUUGUUUGCUAGUUGGUUAGGUAACGGCCCACCCAGGCGACGUUACAUAGCCGACCUGAGAGGGUGAGCGACCACACUGGGACCGAGACCCCGCCCAGACACCUACGGGAGGCAGCAAGAGGGCAACAUCGGCAAUGGGACGAAGUCUGACCGCACCAAGCCGGCGGGGUGGAGAACGGUCUCGGCUCGUUAAGCUCUGUUGUCAGGGAAGAAAGAGCGUGAGGGUGGUACGUUCACGCUGUGACGUUACCAUCACAGUAAGCGCCGGCUAACUACGUG
rnacentral:rRNA from 1 species